rnacentral:rRNA from 1 species
GAGUUUGAUCGUGGCUCAGAUUGAACGCUGGCGGCAUGCCUUACACAUGCAAGUCGAACGGCAGCAUGAUCUAGCUUGCUAGAUUGAUGGCGAGUGGCGAACGGGUGAGUAAUACAUCGGAACGUGCCCUGUAGUGGGGAGUAACUAGUCGAAAGAAUUAGCUAAUAACCGCCAUACGACCUCGAGGGUGGAAAGUAGGGGGACCGGC